AAUUUAAAGUAGUUUGAAUAUGGAAGUUCGGUUAAAUUCCGAGACGGUCCCGCCACUGUAAUCAUGCGAAAGGCAUGGAGUCAGGUCUUUAUUCAAGCAUACUCAUCCGACAUACUAUUUCGAGGUAAAAUAGUG
rnacentral:sRNA from 1 species